AUGGUAACGACCGACUGGAUCUGUCUUUUUGCUGAUUCCAAAGCCCAGUGGGCUCUCAGGGCUCGUUGGAUCUUUAUGGCCUGAGGUGAUGGAAAACCGCAGCCGUAAAAUGGAGUCUCUGCUCUGCCCGGGCUGCCUCCAGGACCUGAAACCAGCCAGCAUGAAUUCAAAGCUCGGCAGCAUCUCUGAAGAGUGACGACAGCCUUCCUCAUCAGCGAGUAUCUGUUCUUCAUCACUUUGGC